AACAUUACCUCAUAUUUUUAAUAGAGGCAGGCACCAUUUCAAAUUAACCCUUUUUGGUUAUGAAUUCUUGACAGAAAUAAGUAUUGAACAACAUCCACCGUAUAUCACAUUAGGGUGGAGAACACGAUGCCUUGCCCACUUAAAAAAUUCACCAAUGCAUUUUUGGGUAUGUUGGAGUUACACAACGAAAUGCAACUGAAAAGAAGUACUGGGCAGAGCCCAAGACGGCACAUCGAGCCAUGAACAAAUUGGUGUUCUCUCUUCUUUGCUGGUACGUAGCAUGAGCCAGGCUGCUGUGCUUGGAUGGAAGCAGCACUCAUCUCAUCUGUUACAUUGCACUAAAGGACAAGCAAAAAACCGAAGGAGAGGGAGGUUACUGGAAGUGUGGGACACAGAAUUACGGAACCUCAGGUGUUGGAAAGGACCUCUGGAGAUCACCCAGUCUAACCCCCUGCUUCAGCAGGUUCCCUACAGCAGAUCACACAGCUAGGCAUCCAGGUAGUGAAUCAACAACCUUUCUCAAAGAGGAAAAAAGAAAACUAGCAUGUAUGGCUAGAAAGUGGCUAGAUGGUGUCACAGAACUCAAGAAUGAGAAAGUUCUGAGAAUACAACCUCACACUGCACCUCCUGGUGAAGAAUGAGACUGUCUUGUUUGAAGAUAGUAGGAAGACUGUGACUUCUUGCUCAUAAUGUGGAAUUUACUCUUUCCUAAAAUCAAUUACAAUUUGUUCCUUCCUGCUCUAAGGAUACAGGUGAAGGGCUGGCUUCUUUUUUUCACUCCA
ensembl:lncRNA